rnacentral:rRNA from 1 species
UACGGAGGGUGCGAGCGUUGUUCGGAAUUACUGGGCGUAAAGCGCGUGUAGGCGGCCUCUUCAGUCUGGUGUGAAAGCCCGGGGCUCAACCCCGGAAUUGCCUUUAAGACUGCAUCGCUAGAAUUGUGGAGAGGUAAGUGGAAUUCCGAGUGUAGAGGUGAAAUUCGUAGAUAUUCGGAAGAACACCAGUGGCGAAGGCGACUUACUGGACACAUAUUGACGCUGAGGUGCGAAAGCGUGGGGAGCAAACAGG